rnacentral:rRNA from 1 species
AGAGGCUACUGCUAUCGGGGUUCGAUUAAGCCNUGNGAGUUAAAUGUUCUUUGUGAACAUAGCGAACUGCUCAGUAACACGUGGAUAACNUACCCUUAGGACCGGAAUAACCCCGGGAAACUGGGGAUAAUACCGGAUAAGCCAUAGACGCUGGAAUGCCCUAUGGUUCAAAGCUCCGGCGCCUAAGGAUGGAUCUGCGGUCUAUCAGGUUGUAGUGGGUGUAACGUACCUACUAGCCGACGACGGAUACGGGUUGUGAGGGCAAGAGCCCGGAGAUGGAUUCUGAGACACGAAUCCAGGCCCUACGGGGUGCAGCAGGCGCGAACACUUUACAAUGCGGGAAACCGCGAUAAGGGAACCCCGAGUGCCAGCAUCAAAUGUUGGCUGUCCAGAUGAUUAAAAAUCAUUUGUUAGCAAGGGCCGGGCAAGACCGGUGCCAGCCGCCGCGGUAACACCGGCGGCCCGAGUGGUAGCCGUUUUUAUUGGGUCUAAAGGGUCCGUAGCCGGCCUGAUAAGUCCUUUGGGAAAUCUGGCAGCUUAACUGUCAGGCUUCUAAGGGAUACUGUCAGGCUUGGGACCGGAAGAGGUAAGGGGUACUCCAGGGGUAGGAGUGAAAUCUUGUAAUCCCUGGGGGACCAUCUGUGGCGAAGGCGCCUUACCAGAACGGGUCCGACGGUGAGGGACGAAAGCUAGGGGAGCAAACCGGAUUAGAUACCCGGGUAGUCCUAGCUGUAAACGAUGCUCGCUAGGUGUCAGACACGGUGCGACCGUGUUUGGUGCCGCAGGGAAGCCGUUAAGCGAGCCACCUGGGAAGUACGGUCGCAAGGCUGAAACUUAA